rnacentral:sRNA from 12 species
GUGUGUGUCUCUGCGGACUGGGCUUCUCCCUGUUUAUCAGAGGUUGAUCAGAGAGGAGGGAGCGGCACUGUGCGCUGCCCUGCCAGCGAGCCCCAGCCCUGACCUGGAGGGACCAUCCCUGGGCGUGAGAAGCGGCUCAGGCUCCACACCUUUGAAACCUUUGGCAUCU